UAGGGAAUCUUCCACAAUGGACGAAAGUCUGAUGGAGCAACGCCGCGUGAGUGAAGAAGGGUUUCGGGCUCGUAAAACUCUGUUGUUAAAGAAGAACAUAUCUGAGAGUAACUGUUCAGGUAUUGACGGUAUUUAACCAGAAAGCCACGGCUAACUACGUGCCAA
rnacentral:rRNA from 1 species